CAAACACCAUGGCUCCGUGAGCUUUCUUAAGGCCUUUUCUUAGAAUUGCAGGCUCAAAAUUAAUAUUGCUCUCAAGCAUCAUUUCGAUGACGACGAACAAGAAAUAAGGAUGAUAGAGACGGAGAAAUCGUCUAGCAGUUACGGAGUCUUCGUGUGGCCCAGCUCCGGCGAGAGGUUCUAUGAGUCGAUCGGAUCUCAUCCUUUACAUGGUGAUCCUUCUGAAGCAGCAACUGGAGCUUCUCCUCAUCAUGUUGGUGUUCAUACGACUGAUGCUGCUGCUCCUCCUCCUCCUCAUGGUGAAACUCUGAUGAAACGUAAGAGACAACGGCUUAGAAAAUACGGACAAGACGGUUCUGUUUCUUUGGCAUUGCCGUCUUCCUCUGUUUUGACCAUUAACACCUCUAGCAAACGAGGCUGUGGUCAACCUACAGGCUCUGGCAAGAAACAGAGAUUGUCUUCCACUGUUAAACAAACUCUGUCCGAAAUCAAGAACCAGGACUCUUUAAUGUGUCCUUGAUGCGUGGGAAAAGUGUGAGUUGAUGAUGCCUUCAUCUUCUGGAAUGAGCUUCACACCACACAUGAUCGUGGUUUCCAUAGGAGAAAAGGGUGGUAUAGUGAUACUGACCAAAAAGUAGAGAGAAGAAUAAGCUAGGAUGGUGAAGAAUCUGUCCCAGUAAAUCGGUGAAAUGAGCAGAGAAGAGAGGCAACAUGAAAGUGAAGCCACUCCAAGUGUUAGCAGUCGUGGCUGCUCUUGAGUUUCUCAUCUUCACCACAUCAGUUAAGUUUUUUGCUCCAGCACUCCAGAAUAGAUCUGUAUGCUCUGGAUCCAUCGCAAAGGUGAAAGGAAGAAAACAAGAGUAAUUUUGGACUUAUUAAAGACAAAAGUGAGAAAAUAACAAAAUUGCACUCUCCUCUCUCCGAGACCUGUGUUACUUUAAAUACUUAGAAACAUUGAAAUUUAUGAGUGUUUGUUGCAUGUCAAAAAAAUGGUAUUCAGUCAAUUUGUAACUGAAUUGCUGUCAACCACAUAACAUGAACCCGCCAAUUAAAGAAAGAGAACCAACUCGUGGUUGAAUCCUUUUACACAGUCUAUACUAUAACCAAAGAUUCUAUACAAUAGACUGGUUAUCUGAGUCAAAGAAACUCUAGUAUAAAACUAAUCUUUGUGAAGUGACAAAAUACUUUGAAUUUGUGUUUUUAAGAAGAACGAGAUUUAGAAUCAGUAAACUAGAGUUUUGACCCAAAAAAAAAAGAAUCGGUAAACUAGAGUAAGAGAAGAAGAUAAGUAAAAGUUCGGUGAGUGUUUAAUAAGUAUUAAGCUACAUUAAGGCAUCCUUUAAAUCGUGAUACACAAGACUCUUACAUUGUCAAUAUUGUUUAGACACAAGAAAGAGA